GAUGAACGCUGGCGGCGUGCCUAAUACAUGCAAGUCGAACGAAGUGGCGAACGGGUGAGUAAUACGUGGAUAACCUGCCCCCCUUUCUGGGAUAAGUUUUGGAAACCGGGUCUAAUACCGAAUAAUGGGGGAUGGUUUCGCGUCCUAUCAGUUUGGUGGUGGGGUCAUAGCCUACCGAGGCGGUGACGGGUAGCCGGCCUGAGUGGGUGACCGGCCACAUUGGUACUGAGGUACGGCCCAGAGUCGUAAGGGGGGCAGCUGUGGGGGAUAUUGCACAAUGGGCGAAUGCCUGAUGCAGCGACGCCGCGUGGGGGAUGCGGGCUUUGGGGUUGUAAACCUCUUUCGGUAUAGAACGGGUAGGUAGAGAAGAAGCGCCGGCUAACUACGUGCCAGCAGCCGCGGUAAUAC
rnacentral:rRNA from 1 species